rnacentral:rRNA from 1 species
UGGGGAAUAUUGCACAAUGGGCGAAAGCCUGAUGCAGCAACGCCGCGUGAGUGAUGAAGGCCUUCGGGUUGUAAAGCUCUGUCUUUUGGGACGAUAAUGACGGUACCAAAGGAGGAAGCCACGGCUAACUACGUGCCAGCAGCCGCGGUAAUACGUAGGUGGCAAGCGUUGUCCGGAUUUACUGGGCGUAAAGGAUGCGUAGGCGGAUUUUUAAGUGAGAUGUGAAAACCCUAAGCUUAACUUGGGACUGCAUUUCAUACUGGAAAUCUAGAGUGCGGGAGAGGAGAAUGGAAUUCCUAGUGUAGCGGUGAAAUGCGUAGAGAUUAGGAAGAACACCAGUGGCGAAGGCGAUUCUNUGGACCGUAACUGACGCUGAGGCAUGAAAGCGUGGGUAGCAAACAGGAUUAGAUACCCUGGUAGUCCACGCCGUAAACGAUGAGUACUAGGUGUAGGAGGUAUCGACCCCUUCUGUGCCGCAGUUAACACAAUAAGUACUCCGCCUGGGAAGUACGAUCGCAAGAUUAAAACUUAAAUGAUUGACGGGGUCAUAGCUGUUUUCCU